UCUUUUGCAUCCGGUUCGCUUGUUGUGUUUCAUUUUCACGACCCCUAGUUUACUCUACAGUGUCGGCAUAACAAUGAAAGCGAAAAAAUCGAGAAGGAAAUAAAGUGAGAGAAACGAGGUGGAAGGGAGAGAAAGAGAUAGCCAUUGUUUCCGGUAACUCUUUCGCGGUAACGAGGAGGAACCUCAAUUAGAACGGUUUGAGGACUUAAACGCCCAGAGGCUGCCGGGUUUUAAGAGGCAAGGAUGCAGUAACGUCGACAUGGAAGCAUUGUUUCUCCGAGCAAUAAUGCAAACGAUACCCUAAGCGCGUGAAAGACGUUCUGACAUCUCUCUUACCACUCACUACUGCAAGUUAUAACAUUCUAUCUAAGACAAUUUGUACCAAUUUCAUAUCCUAGAGAUAUACAAAUUCUUGUACUGUAUUCAUACGUGAACUCGAUAAAUAACGAAAACAGGAUU